GUUCUCUUUUGGAGCCUCUUCUCGAUGUCUUUCUAUUAUGUGUUCUCCAUCGCAGAGGGGGUAUUGCAUGCAGGUAUGACAUAGAAAAUCUUCAAAAUUGCAAAAGUGUACCGCUAAGCAACUUGAUGAGAAAACUGUGUGGUUUGCAUGCAGCGAUACAGGAUGAUGUUGCUGAAUAUGCUGACAAAAGUAUUUUUACUCUUCAUGGUAGCAGCUCUUCCAUCUACCAUGGCUGGCAUACCUCCUAGGCCUGUGGAUGUGCCAUUUUCAAGGAACUAUGUUCCCACUCGGGUUUUUUAUCAUAUCAGGAAAAUUAAUGCUGGAAAAUAGGUCGACCUUGUUUUAGAUAAAUCGACACACGUACAUUACUAAUGCGGACUCAUAUAAAUAAGCACUAGAUUUCAGACUAAGGGAGAAUAUUUGUUUGGACACUUCAGUAUGACUAUCAAGAUGGUUCCAAGGGACUCUGCAGGGGUUGUAACUACCUUUUAUUUUUCUAUGAGGUGCAACUAUCUUCACAAAACUCAAAGCAUGAUGAGAUAGACGUUGAGUUCUUAGGAAACACCAUUGGGCAGCCCUACAUUCUCCAAACCAAUGUGUUCAGUGGAGGAAAAAUACAUAGAGAGCAGCACAUAUACCUCUGGUUUGACCCCACUAAAGAAUUCCAUUCUUACUUUGUUCUCUAGAACAUGCAUCGGGUUGGGAGAUUAUGUAAGUUCAUGUUUCUUUUAUUGGUAACUAUUCAAAUCAUGGAAUCAGAAGGAAUUUAAUGAUUUGGAUGGAUUACAGUGGAGAAAGCUCAAGGAAGUGCACCAAAAAUAUACACCAUCUACAACUAUUGCACUGACAGAGUACGUUUCCCAAAAAUGGCUCCCGAAUGUGCAAGAGACCAAGAUGUCUAGGGAAGCAUUUUUCAUAUGACUCAGAGUCACAGUACAAUAAUAUAUGUUGGGUGUAGUUGUGGUUACCCUUAACAUUAUUUGUUGCAUCCAUUACAAUAAAUAACUUAUUUAUGUGAUAGAUUUAUUGAGAUUCAAUU